rnacentral:rRNA from 1 species
UACGUAGGGUGCGAGCGUUGUCCGGAAUUAUUGGGCGUAAAGAGCUUGUAGGCGGUUUGUCGCGUCUGCUGUGAAAAUCCGGGGCUCAACCCCGGACUUGCAGUGGGUACGGGCAGACUAGAGUGUGGUAGGGGAGACUGGAAUUCCUGGUGUAGCGGUGGAAUGCGCAAAUAUCAGGAGGAACACCGAUGGCGAAGGCAGGUCUCUGGGCCACUACUGACGCUGAGAAGCGAAAGCAUGGGGAGCGAACAGG